GCAGGCGGUUCGGAAAGAAAGAUGUGAAAUCCCAGAGUUUAACUUUGGAACUGCAUUUUUAACUACCGGGCCAGAGUGUGUCAGAGGGAGGUGGAAUUCCGCGUGUAGCAGUGAAAUGCGUAGAUAUGCGGAGGAACACCGAUGGCGAAGGCAGCCUCCUGGGAUAACACUGACGCUCAUGCACGAAAGCGUGGGGAGCAAACAGGAUUAGAUACCCUGGUAGUCCACGCCCUAAACGAUGUCAACUAGCUGUUGGGGCCUUCGGGCCUUGGUAGCGCAGCUAACGCGUGAAGUUGACCGCCUGGGGAGUACGGUCGCAAGAUUAAAACUCAAAGGAAUUGACGGGGACCCGCACAAGCGGUGGAUGAUGUGGAUUAAUUCGAUGCAACGCGAAAAACCUUACCUACCCUUGACACGUCUGGAAUGCCGAAGAGAUUUGGCAGUGCUCGCAAGAGAACCGGAACACAGGUGCUGCAUGGCUGUCGUCAGCUCGUGUCGUGGGAUGUUGGGUUAAGUCCCGCAACGAGCGCAACCCUUGUCAUUAGUUGCUACGAAAGGGCACUCUAAUGAGACUGCCGGUGACAAACCGGAGGAAGGUGGGGAUGACGUCAAGUCCUCAUGGCCCUUAUGGGUAGGGCUUCACACGUCAUACAAUGGUCGGGACAGAGGGUCGCCAACCCGCGAGGGGGAGCCAAUCCCAGAAACCCGAUCGUAGUCCGGAUCGCAGUCUGCAACUCGAC
rnacentral:rRNA from 1 species